rnacentral:rRNA from 1 species
GACGAACGCUGGCGGCGUGCCUAAUACAUGCAAGUAGAACGAGUUGCGAACGGGUGAGUAACGCGUGGUAACCUGCCUGGUAGCGGGGGAUAACUAUUGGAAACGAUAGCUAAUACCGCAUACCAUCAGAUGUGCUCAGAUGGGAUUAGCUAGGAGGUGGGGUAACGGCUCACCUAGGCGACGAUCCCUAGCUGGUGUGAGAGGAUGACCAGCGACACUGGAACUGAGACACGGUCCAGACUCCUACGGGAGGCAGCAGUGGGGAAUAUGGCACAAUGGGCGCAAGCCUGAUGCAGCCAUGCCGCGUGUGUGAAGAAGGCCGUCGGGUUGUAAAGCACUUUCAGCGGGGAGGCGUUACCCGCAGAAGAAGCACCGGCUAACUCCGUGCCAGCAGCCGCGGUAAUUC